rnacentral:rRNA from 1 species
GCAUGCCCUUCGGGGUGAUGGCGAGCGGCGGACGGCUGAGUAACGCGUGGGAAUCUGCCCCAAAGUGAGGGAUAACUGCCCGAAAGGGUGGCUAAUACCGCAUAUGGUCUACGGAUUAAAGGAGUAAUCCGCUUUGGGAGGAGCCCGCGUAAGAUUAGAUAGUUGGUGAGGUAAUGGCUCACCAAGUCGACGAUCUUUAACUGGUUUGAGAGGAUGAUCAGUCAGACUGGAACUGAGACACGGUCCAGACUCCUACGGGAGGCAGCAGUUAGGAAUAUUCCACAAUGGGGCAACCCUGAUGGAGCAACGCCGCGUGGAGGACGAAGGCCCUCGGGUCGUAAACUUCUUUUCUAUGCGAAGAAUAUGACGGUAACAUAGGAAUAAGGGUCUGCUAACUACGUGCCAGCAGCCGCGGUCAUACGUAGGACCCAAGCGUUAUCCGGAUUGACUGGGCGUAAAGAGUUGCGUAGGUGGUUUAUCAAGCGAGCAGUGAAAUCUUGUGGCUCAACCAUAAGGCUAUUGUUCGAACUGAUAAACUCGAGAAUGGAAGAGGUAUCUGGAAUUCCCAGUGUAGGAGUGAAAUCCGUAGAUAUUGGGAGGAACACCAAUGGCGUAGGCAGGAUACUGGUCCAUUCCUGACACUAAGGCACGAAAGCGUGGGGAGCGAACGGGAUUAGAUACCCCGGUAGUCCACGCCGUAAACUAUGGAUGCUAGCUGUUAGCCGUAUCGACCCGGUUAGUAGCGAAGCUAACGCGUUAAGCAUCCCGCCCGGGGAGUACGAACGCAAGUUUAAAACUCAAAGGAAUUGACGGGGACCCGCACAAGCGG